CAGCAGCAGCCGCGGUAAUACGAAGGGGGCUAGCGUUGCUCGGAAUGACUGGGCGUAAAGGGCGCGUAGGCGGCUUGUACAGUCAGAUGUGAAAUUCCUGGGCUCAACCUGGGGACUGCAUUUGAUACUUGAUUGCUAGAGUGGGGAAGAGGGUCGUGGAAUUCCCAGUGUAGAGGUGAAAUUCGUAGAUAUUGGGAAGAACACCAGUGGCGAAGGCGGCGACCUGGUCCUUGACUGACGCUGAGGCGCGAAAGCGUGGGGAGCAAACAGGAUUAGAUACCCCCGUAGUCCCUGUCUCUUAUAC
rnacentral:rRNA from 1 species